rnacentral:lncRNA from 1 species
UCAAACCUGUCGAGAAUCGAGAUGAGAUUCGAUUUCUGAUCCUCAUUGAAUAUGAGUAGGGUAACAUGUAAAUAUAUGAGAGUAAGAUAUUGAGACGAAGAAGAUAAAACUUGUCCCUAUCCCACACCGCAUUGCCAUGACUAAUUAGCAUUUUCCUUUCUAAAGCUAUCACCGACUCUCAUUCACUUCUAACACUUUUACUCAAUCUAUCCGAAAUGACUAAUUGAG